CAGUCGAGCGAACAGACGAGGAGCUUGCUCCUCUGACGUUAGCGGCGGACGGGUGAGUAACACGUGGAUAACCUACCUAUAAGACUGGGAUAACUUCGGGAAACCGGAGCUAAUACCGGAUAACAUGUUGAACCGCAUGGUUCAACAGUGAAAGACGGUCUUGCUGUCACUUAUAGAUGGAUCCGCGCCGCAUUAGCUAGUUGGUAAGGUAACGGCUUACCAAGGCAACGAUGCGUAGCCGACCUGAGAGGGUGAUCGGCCACACUGGAACUGAGACACGGUCCAGACUCCUACGGGAGGCAGCAGUAGGGAAUCUUCCGCAAUGGGCGAAAGCCUGACGGAGCAACGCCGCGGGAGUGAAGAAGGUCUUCGGAUCGUAAAACUCUGUUAUUAGGGAAGAACAAAUGUGUAAGUAACUAUGCACGUCUUGACGGUACCUAAUCAGAAAGCCACGGCUAACUACGUGCCAGCAGCCGCGGUAAUACGUAGGUGGCAAGCGUUAUCCGGAAUUAUUGGGCGUAAAGCGCGCGUAGGCGGUUUUUUAAGUCUGAUGUGAAAGCCCACGGCUCAACCGUGGAGGGUCAUUGGAAACUGGAAAACUUGAGUGCAGAAGAGGAAAGUGGAAUUCCAUGUGUAGCGGUGAAAUGCGCAGAGAUAUGGAGGAACACCAGUGGCGAAGGCGACUUUCUGGUCUGUAACUGACGCUGAUGUGCGAAAGCGUGGGGAUCAAACAGGAUUAGAUACCCUGGUAGUCCACGCCGUAAACGAUGAGUGCUAAGUGUUAGGGGGUUUCCGCCCCUUAGUGCUGCAGCUAACGCAUUAAGCACUCCGCCUGGGGAGUACGACCGCAAGGUUGAAACUCAAAGGAAUUGACGGGGACCCGCACAAGCGGUGGAGCAGGUGGUUUAAUUCGAAGCAACGCGAAGAACCUUACCAAAUCUUGACAUCCUCUGACCCCUCUGGAGAUAGAGUUUUCCCCUUCGGGGGACAGAGUGACAGGUGGUGCAUGGUUGUCGUCAGCUCGUGUCGUGAGAUGUUGGGUUAAGUCCCGCAACGAGCGCAACCCUUAAGCUUAGUUGCCAUCAUUAAGUUGG
rnacentral:rRNA from 1 species